rnacentral:rRNA from 1 species
AUUGAACGCUGGCGGCAGGCCUAACACAUGCAAGUCGAGCGGAGCGGCGGACGGGUGAGUAAUGCCUAGGAAUCUGCCUGGUAGGGGGGGAUAACGUCCGGAAACGGGCGCUAAUACCGCAUACUAUCAGAUGAGCCUAGGUGGGUGUAGCUAGUUGGUGGGGUAAAGGCCUACCAAGGCGACGAUCCGUAACUGGUCUGAGAGGAUGAUCAGUCACACGGGAACUGGGAAACGGUCCAGACCCCUACGGGAGGCAGCAGUGGGGAAUAUUGGACAAUGGGCGAAAGCCUAAUCCAGCCAUGCCGCGUGUGUGAAGAAGGUCUUCGGAUUGUAAAGCACUUUAAGUUGGGAGGCGUUACCAACAGAAUAAGCACCGGCUAACUUCGUGCCAGCCGCCGCGGUAAUUC